rnacentral:rRNA from 1 species
UGGGGAAUUUUGGACAAUGGGCGAAAGCCUGAUCCAGCAAUGCCGCGUGUGUGAAGAAGGCCUUCGGGUUGUAAAGCACUUUUGUCCGGAAAGAAAUCCUGCUAGGUUAAUGACUCGGGGGGAUGACGGUACCGGAAGAAUAAGCACCGGCUAACUACGUGCCAGCAGCCGCGGUAAUACGUAGGGUGCAAGCGUUAAUCGGAAUUACUGGGCGUAAAGCGUGCGCAGGCGGUUUUGUAAGACGGAUGUGAAAUCCCCGGGCUAACCUGGGGAACUGCAUUGCGUGACUGGCAAGGCUAGAGUAUGGCAGAGGGGGGUAGAAUUCCACGUGUAGCAGUGAAAUGCGUAGAGAUGUGGAGGAAUACCGAUGGCGAAGGCAGCCCCCCUA